UGUGCAAUUUUUGGAUAAUCGCAUGGGGAGAUUUCUUCAUGAGGAGAGUCCAUGCUAGCACUGGCUGUGAUGCCGGUAGUGUUUGUGCUAGGCGAAACAAUAAGCCUAGGGACGAGAAAUCGUUACGGCAGUUGAAAUGGCUAAGUCUUUGGAUAAGUCAAAGUAGGCUUGAAAGUGCCACAGUGACGGAGUCUCUCUGGAAACAGAGGGAGUGGAACGCGGUAAACCCCUCAAGCUAGCAACCCAA
rnacentral:misc_RNA from 1 species